CCUUGGUACAACCAAAAAGACCAGUGUUUACUUUUCAUUAAAAGCUUGCGGGAUCUUAGUUCUCCAACCAGGGAUUGAACCUGUGCCCUCAGCAGUGAAAGCACCGAGUCCUAACCACUGGAUCGCCAAGGAAUUCCCUCUCUCUUUUUUUUUAAAUUUUUGCCUUUUUUCUGUGCAACGGGGUCAAAAAUUCAAGGUGAAGUUGAGAAAAAUUAAAAGCCAUAAAAGAUAAGCCA